GAUGAAGAACGCAGCGAAAUGCGAUAAGUAGUGUGAAUUGCAGAAUUCAGUGAAUCAUCGAAUCUUUGAACGAACAUUGCGCCCUGUGGUAUUCCGCAGGGCAUGCCUGUUCGAGCGUCAUUGACACCCUCAAGCUCUGCUUGGUCUUGGGCGUUUGUGCCUGCCGUUGCGCAGGGACUCGCCUCAAACUCAUUGGCAGCCUGCCUUUGCCGGUCUUUGCACAGCACAGUCGUGCCAAAGCCGCGGUGAGCAGGCGCUCCACAAGCCCUUUUCAGCUUGACCUCGGAUCAGGUAGGAAUACCCGCUGAACUUAAGCAUAUCAAUAAGCGGAGGA
rnacentral:misc_RNA from 1 species